rnacentral:rRNA from 1 species
CCUACGGGAGGCAGCAGUGAGGAAUAUUGGUCAAUGGGCGCGAGCCUGAACCAGCCAAGUAGCGUGAAGGAUGACUGCCCUACGGGUUGUAAACUUCUUUUAUAAAGGAAUAAAGUGAGGCACGUGUGCCUUUUUGUAUGGACGUUAUGAAUAAGGAUCGGCUAACUCCGUGCCAGCAGCCGCGGUAAUACGGAGGAUCCGAGCGUUAUCCGGAUUUAUUGGGUUUCCAGGGAGCGUAGAUGGGUUGUUAAGUCAGUUGUGAAAGGUUGCGGCUCAACCGUAAAAUUGCACUUGAUACUGGCAGCCUUGCGUACAGUUGAGGUAGGCGGAAUUCGUUGUGUAGCGGUGAAAUGCUUAGAUAUCAC